rnacentral:lncRNA from 1 species
CACGGUGGAUAUCCAGCGGGAGCAGGCGGUGGAGGAAGAGCUGCGGGACCAGACCGAGCGCCACCUGAAAAGGAUUGGGGAUCUGGCGGCGCUGUUCUGGGCCUGUGCGCCACCCCACAGGGGUGUCCCGACGGUGGUGAAGCAGUGGAGGAGCCGCAUGAGGCACUUCAGCGACCCGAGGUGGUAGACGAGGGGCGCAGCGGUCCGCUCCGGCUGGAGGAGGAAGAGCAGCCGGGUGAAGGGCUGCUCCUGCCGGGAGCGGUGGAGGAGCCGCUCCAGUCGGAAACGGCAGACGAGGCACGCGAGGGUCUACACCUGCCGGAGGUAGAGGAGCCGCUGCAGGAAGGGCUGCUUCAGCCGGGAGCGGUGGAGGAGGCGCUCCAGCUGGAGGCAGCAGAUGAGGUACGUGAGGGUCUACACCUACCCUACCGGAGGAAGAGGAGCCGCUCCAGCCAGAGGUGGACGAGGGGCGAGAGGGGCUGUGCCUGCUGGAGGCGGAGGCUCCGCGCGGGGAGCAGCUGUGCGAGGAGACGGAGGUCCCUGGUCCAGGGCAUCCUGCGCGGCCAGAGCUGGAGGCAAAGGAGCGGGACGGCCUUGCUAAGCCGGGGGUCGGCGGGCUGGCCAGUCCAGCCUCGACGCCACCAGUCGAUUUGGCGCGCCCAACGUCUGCCCAGCCGCCUGUGGUCAGGAGCUCACGGCCAUGCCUGUGGGGCCGUGUUCGCUUGUUACGCAGCCGACCUCUGGACCAGCUUCGCCAUCGCCGCUGGAUACGCGGGCGCCGAUGUUUUGGGCCGAGUCUCGCCCCAGAUGGCUCCCCGGCCUCAAUCGGGCGAUGGGGGUGUGUGGUGGGGCGUGGUCUGCGGUGCCAUGCGGACGCACCUGCACGGCAUCCGCAAUCACGCCCGCCCUUGUAAAACACGGGCACUCAGGGGUUGGUGUGGGGUUUGUGGUGGUGUGAUGCAAAUGCUAAAUAAAGAUGGCUCAAAACAUGGAUCUCUGACUUCCGGGUGUCAUGGCGCAGUGAGUGGACAUGUUUGGAGACUGCUCCCUACAAUCGGGAUAGAAAACACCGAAACUCAUUAA